ACACUGCUUAAGAGUCCCACAAUGGGACGAAACGAUCGUCCAGUGC
rnacentral:hammerhead_ribozyme from 1 species